AAACUGGAGAUGGCGACCGGCGCACGGGUGAGUAACACGUAUCCAACCUGCCGAUAACUCGGGGAUAGCCUUUCGAAAGAAAGAUUAAUACCCGAUGGCAUAAUAGAACCGCAUGGUUUGAUUAUUAAAGAAUUUCGGUUAUCGAUGGGGAUGCGUUCCAUUAGGCAGUUGGUGGGGGUAACGGCCCACCAAACCUUCGAUGGAUAGGGGUUCUGAGAGGAAGGUCCCCCACAUUGGAACUGAGACACGGUCCAAACUCCUACGGGAGGCAGCAUG
rnacentral:rRNA from 1 species